rnacentral:lncRNA from 1 species
AUCUUUUCUUUUCUGAUGUUUGAUUUCCUAUCAAGACCAUCAAUGAUUUUUCAUUUUAGGUAUUGUCAAUUUCACCUCAGAAGUUUUACAUUUUUUUUCACAAUUUUAAGUUUCUCCCCUCAUUAUUUUAAUGCUUUCCUUAAUAUCCAUUUACAUAUUUAUAUAAGAUGUUUUAAAGCCUUAUCUAUGGUUGGGUGCGGUGGCUCAUGCUUGUAAUCCAGAACUUUGGGAGGCUGAGGUGGGCAGAUCACUAGAGGUCAGGAGUUUGAGCAGCUGUAUACCCCCAGCACCUAGGAAGUC